rnacentral:lncRNA from 1 species
CCAAAGUCGAAAUCAAACAUGGGCGAAGACACGAGAACUUAAAAACAUCAUUGAGUGCAGCGUUGAUGAUACUGUACCCGUGUUAUAAUCGGGCAUUCUUUCAACAAUGCUACACUCAAUAAUGUUUUUAAUUCUAUGGGGGAAUUCACAAUUCAAAACUAUAAAUGGGUAUUUUCUGAUUUUCAUUUACAUUUGAAAUAUAUUUACAUAAUGAUGCCAUUAUCGAACAUAAAUUUGACUAUUACAAAGUUGAAAUAUUAUCAUAAAUUUUUUGACAUUACUUUUCCUUUUCUUUUGCACGUUUCCAUUCUUUCAUCAUUUUUUGGGUUUAUUAAAAUUAUUAUAUCUUACCGAUAAGAUUUUUGAAGGUUUAUUUUGAAAUUAUGAUGAAUAUUUAUGAAAGAAAAUCAAUAUGACUUCAAGACAACUUUUAUGAUAAUUCUUGUAGGUUAAAUAUUAUAAUUCUUCUAUUUUAAUUGUUGUUGACUUUUUGUUAUUAAUUAAUUUUCCUGUUUUUUAAUAUUUUUACACGAAUUAAUUUGUAUAUUUCCAACAUAUUUCUCAAUAUUGUCACUAUUGGAAAAACAUGGUUUCCAUUAAGAAGAUGGCGUGUAAUUUUCAUUUAUUAAACAAUAAAUAAAUAGAUUAUUUUAUAUUUUCUGAAUGAAGUACAACCAUUAUUAUCCAUUUUGGGGAAAAAAAAAUAUCCCUAACAUAUAUUUAUUUGAAUUUUUAUAAUAAGAAGAGGAUAGAUAAUUUUUUUUUGAAAAACAAAUAGGGAAUGCAUCGUCAUCACAAGCAAGAACUGAUUUUCAACCCCAGUCCUAUUCUAAGAACUCGAUUAUGCAAUGAAUCUUCGAUUCAAGGGGCUUAGGAUGGGAGAAUUGGUCUUGAGGGCAUUAUUCGAGAUGGGAUAGACUUAGUGCUCGUGACUCUUGUAGCUAGGGUGGAUGGUCUUUUGUUCAAAAGUGGUCGAGUCAAUGGCUUUCUAUUUCAAUCUCCAUUUUGCAGUCGAUAAUGACUUUGAAAUCUAAUGUUGAAAGUCAAUAAUGACUUUCAAUGCUCUUUCUAUUUUCCUGAUAUUUCAAUGUUGUUAAUGAAAGUGAAACAUUGUACGUAUUGUUAUUUUUUUAUCCUAUAACAUGGGUCAUAAUUUCGCAUUUUUCGUUGUUUUUUCUUUGAUGAACGUUUA